GACGAACGCUGGCGGCGUGCUUAACACAUGCAAGUCGAACGGAAAGGCCCUCUUUCUGUGGUGUGCUCGAGUGGCUAAAGUGUGAGUAACACGUGAUUCACCUGCCUUUUACUUUGGCAUCACGUCAGUAAACUUGGGCUAAUACCUCUUAUUCGCUCCUGCUCCAUGGUGGGGGUUGGAAGGUUUCGGCGGUUGGGGAUGGACUCGCGGCUUAUCAGCCUGUUGGUGGGCUAGUGGCUUACCAAGGCGUAGACGGGUAGCCGGCCUGAGAGGGUGGCCGGAGACAUUGGGAAGGAGAUAAGGCCCAGACGCAGACGGGAGGCAGAAGUGGGGAAUAGUGCACAAUGGGCGGAAGCCUGAGGCAGCAACGCCGCGUGCGGGAUGACGGCCUUCGGGUGGUAGACAGGAAGCGACUGUGACGGAGCGGGAGUGACGGUAAUGGGAAAAGAAGCACCGGCUAACUACGUG
rnacentral:rRNA from 1 species